rnacentral:rRNA from 1 species
CCUACGGGAGGCUGCAGUGGGGGAUAUUGCACAAUGGAGGAAACUCUGAUGCAGCUACGCCGCGUGAGGGAAGACGGUCUUCGGGUUGUAAACCUCUGUCUUUGAGGAAGAAAAUGACGGUACCCAAAAAGGGAGCUCCGGCUAACUACGUGCCAGCAGCCGCGGUAAUACGGAGGGAGCGAGCCUUCUCGGGAAUUACGGGGGGGAAAGGGAGCGUGGGCGGGAGAGAAAGCUGAAGGUUAAAUCUACAGGUUUACCUGGUAGCUGCGUUCAAAAGUUCUUGUCUAGAGUGGAGUAGAGGCAGGCGGAAUUCCUAGUGUAGCGGUGAAAUGCGUAGAUAUUAGGAGGAACACCAGUGGCGAAGGCGGCCUGCUGGG